ACGGGUGAGUAAUGCCUAGGAAUCUGCCUGGUAGUGGGGGAUAACGUCCGGAAACGGACGCUAAUACCGCAUACGUCCUACGGGAGAAAGCAGGGGACCUUCGGGCCUUGCGCUAUCAGAUGAGCCUAGGUCGGAUUAGCUAGUUGGUGAGGUAAUGGCUCACCAAGGCGACGAUCCGUAACUGGUCUGAGAGGAUGAUCAGUCACACUGGAACUGAGACACGGUCCAGACUCCUACGGGAGGCAGCAGUGGGGAAUAUUGGACAAUGGGCGAAAGCCUGAUCCAGCCAUGCCGCGUGUGUGAAGAAGGUCUUCGGAUUGUAAAGCACUUUAAGUUGGGAGGAAGGGCAGUUGCCUAAUACGUAACUGUUUUGACGUUACCGACAGAAUAAGCACCGGCUAACUCUGUGCCAGCAGCCGCGGUAAUACAGAGGGUGCAAGCGUUAAUCGGAAUUACUGGGCGUAAAGCGCGCGUAGGUGGUUUGUUAAGUUGGAUGUGAAAUCCCCGGGCUCAACCUGGGAACUGCAUUCAAAACUGACUGACUAGAGUAUGGUAGAGGGUGGUGGAAUUUCCUGUGUAGCGGUG
rnacentral:rRNA from 2 species